AUGGAGAAUGUCUAGUUUAUUGUUAGAAAUACAGAAAAAGGUCAGGCGCGGUGGGUCAUGCCUGUAAUCCCAGCACUUUGGGAGGCUGAGGCAAGUAGAUCAUUUGAGCCCAGGAGUUUGAGACCAGCUUGGGCAACAAGGCGAAACCCCACCUCUACUAAAAAUACAAAAAGAUAGCCUGGUAUGGUGGAAGGAUCCCUUGAGCCCAGGGAGGCUGAGGUUGCAGUGAGCCAAGAUCACUCUCCCACUGCACUCCAGUCUGGGUGACAGAGCAAAACCCUAUCUCAAAAAACAAAAAAAAGAAGAAAAAAAUGUAAGGUUUUUCAUGACAUAAGAACAAUGAGGACUAAGGACUAAGAGGACUAAGCAAGAGUAGAAAAUACCACAAAAUACCACAAUUAAGAAAAAUGAACAUGAUACAUGGAUGUGUCAGCCAGAAAAGGGCAGUAGAAUCUGGGUUCCUCUAAACCAUCUGAAGAGGAUGAUAAAAGCAGCAAGGCCAACUCCCAUUUAAAUACUUGUUAGUGCCAGCUAGGUCAGGACUAGUUAAAAAAAAAAAAAGAAAAAGAUUAAAAAAAAACUUCUUAGAACAUGCCCAUUUGCUCAGCCAAAUAUAUGAUGCCUGCCUGCUAUAUGCAGAACGCACUACUGCUGUUCUCCAACCCCCUAUGUAUUCUAAACCAAAUCUGAUAUGGCUUGAGACACUUUUUUUUUUUUAAGAAUGACAAAAGCAGAUUGGCAUAUAUAUAUAUUUUAAUUGAUUAAAUCUUACUAAUAUUCUGUAAGGGAUAAACCAGACA
rnacentral:lncRNA from 10 species